GGGGAAUCUUGCGCAAUGGGCGCAAGCCUGACGCAGCAACGCCGCGUGUGUGAUGAAGGUCUUCGGAUCGUAAAGCACUGUCGGGAGGGACGAAUAAGGGCCGGGUGAACAAUCCGGCGCGAUGACGGUACCUCCAAAGGAAGCACCGGCUAACUCUGUGCCAGCAGCCGCGGUAAUACAGAGGGUGCAAGCGUUGUUCGGAAUUAUUGGGCGUAAAGCGCGUGUAGGCGGUCUCGCAAGUCGGAUGUGAAAGCCCUCGGCUUAACCGAGGAAGUGCGUUCGAAACUACGAGACUUGAGUACCGGAGAGGGUGGCGGAAUUCCCGGUGUAGAGGUGAAAUUCGUAGAUAUCGGGAGGAACACCAGUGGCGAAGGCGGCCACCUGGACGGCUACUGACGCUGAGACGCGAAAGCGUGGGGAGCAAAC
rnacentral:rRNA from 1 species